GAUGAACGCUGGCGGCGUGCUUAACACAUGCAAGUCGAACGGGAUCCCAGGAGCUUGCUCCUGGGUGAGAGUGGCGAACGGGUGAGUAAUGCGUGACCGACCUGCCCCAUACACCGGAAUAGCUCCUGGAAACGGGUGGUAAUGCCGGAUGCUCCAGUUGGAUGCAUGUCCUUCUGGGAAAGAUUCAUCGGUAUGGGAUGGGGUCGCGUCCUAUCAGCUUGAUGGCGGGGUAACGGCCCACCAUGGCUUCGACGGGUAGCCGGCCUGAGAGGGCGACCGGCCACAUUGGGACUGAGAUACGGCCCAGACUCCUACGGGAGGCAGCAGUGGGGAAUAUUGCACAAUGGGCGCAAGCCUGAUGCAGCGACGCCGCGUGCGGGAUGACGGCCUUCGGGUUGUAAACCGCUUUUGACUGGGAGCAAGCCCUUCGGGGUGAGUGU
rnacentral:rRNA from 1 species